rnacentral:antisense_RNA from 1 species
GGCCGCUGUCCGGCACCCGGAGGAGGCUGGGCUGUGCGCGGCGUUUGGGGGUCGGCGUCGCCCGCACGCUCUGCGAGCCUUGGGCCCGCGUACCUUCCAGUAGAGCACCCCGAGCCGUCGCAGCUGCUCCAGGCCCACUGGGCGGCCGGGGUCGGGGCGGUGGGGUUGCCGCGGGUCGCCCGGGGCGUCGUCCAUAUACCAGGCCUGCACCAUGACGCGCAGUGCGGGUGCCGUGUUCGAACCCAGGGGCCGCGCUGGGAGCCCGGCGGCCGCGCUUUGUUUUAUAGGGAGGCGUGGACGCGCAUGGGAGCCGGGAUUGGGCGGCUGGUUGGAGGCAGGGCCGGCGCGGGGGAGGCCCCACGGCUCCGCUGUUUUCGGAGGCAAAGGCAUUCAAGCCCCGGCCCUGGCCUGGGCACCCUCGGACCUGCCUGAGGCCCGCGGCCCGGGGCCAGCCGUUCGCCAGACGCGCCGGGCAGGUGAAGCUCACCGUAGGCAUCGCACGUGCCUUGUGUGUGCUGCCGCGGUCUCCCUGCACCUUCAGAGCAAUCUUGUGAGGCAAAAGACGUUAAACGUGUUUAGAGCAUGGAAAGCAAAUGCAAAAAAAAAAAAAGAAAAGAAGAAGGAUUUUGUUAAGCUCAUGCAGUCCAUAUGGGCACAGUUGAGACUUCACAGCUCGGAUCCCAGGUAUGGGGGAAACAGUUUUAUGCCAUAAAAAACAUACUUUAGAAAAGCAAGAUGAUGGAGAGGCUCUGAGGAAUUGCCAAGGCAGCCCAGCACUUGCUGCUGGCAGGAGUUCAAGCGGGCAGAAUCAGAUGAGAACAGCACUCAUUACUUCAUACGGACAUUGCCGGCCCAUGGGAUUCCUCCUUUGAAGGGGAAUCUUUGGAACUUGAACUGUCUCUUCCAGAAGAAUAGCCAGCAGCAGCCCAAAAAUAUGUUUCAUGACCAGAAUGUAUCACCCCGAUGUAAGACACUU